GAACCUGGUUAGAGUGGUUAAGGCGAUGGUCUAGAAAUCCAUUGGGAUCUUCCCGCGUAGAUUCGAAUCCUACCUGCUACG